CAGACGGAAACGACUGCUAAUACCGAAUAAGUUCCAAGAGCCGCAUGGCCCAUGGAAGAAAAGGUGGCCUCUACCUGUAAGCUAUCGCCUGAAGAGGGGUUUGCGUCUGAUUAGCUGGUUGGAGGGGUAACGGCCCACCAAGGCGACGAUCAGUAGCCGGUCUGAGAGGAUGAACGGCCACACUGGAACUGAGACACGGUCCAGACUCCUACGGGAGGCAGCAUG
rnacentral:rRNA from 1 species